UACGUGGGGUGCAAGCGUUGUUCGGAAUUACUGGGCGUAAAGGGCUCGUAGGCGGCCAACUAAGUCAGACGUGAAAUCCCUCGGCUUAACCGGGGAACUGCGUCUGAUACUGGUUGGCUUGAAUCCGGGAGAGGGAUGUGGAAUUCCAGGUGUAGCGGUGAAAUGCGUAGAUAUCUGGAGGAACACCGGUGGCGAAGGCGGCAUCCUGGACCGGUAUUGACGCUGAGGAGCGAGAGCCAGGGGAGCAAACGGG
rnacentral:rRNA from 1 species